rnacentral:misc_RNA from 1 species
AAGAGUUGCAAAACUCCCACAAACCAUCGCGAACGUUACCUAGACGUCGUUGCUUCGGCGGGCUCGCCCGCCGGGGGGACGCUACCAGACUCUUGCAGUUCUUCGGCCUCUCUGAGUACGAUUUUUUAAAUAAGUCA